rnacentral:rRNA from 1 species
GAUCAGAUACCGUCGUAGUCUUAACCAUAAACUAUGCCGACCAGGGAUUGGAAGAUGUCUUAUCCAAUGUAACAGUUGGAAAACUCCUUCAGUACCUUACGAGAAAUCAUAAGUCUUUGGGUUCUGGGGGGAGUAUGGUCGCAAGGCUGAAACUUAAAGGAAUUGACGGAAGGGCACCACCAGGAGUGGAGCCUGCGGCUUAAUUUGACUCAACACGGGAAAACUUACCAGGUCCAGACACAGUUAGGAUUGACAGAUUGAGAGUUCUUUCUUGAUUCUGUGGGUGGUGGUGCAUGGCCGUUCUUAGUUGGUGGAGUGAUUUGUCUGGUUAAUUCCGAUAACGAACGAGACCUCAGCUUAUUAAUUAGUUAUGCAAAUGAUUACAUCCAUUUGAUUGGGAAGGGUUUCUAAUGUAAGCUUGGGGUUUGACUCUGAGAUUGAUUAGAAAAACUUGUUUUUAUUUGUUAGAAUUUGAUUUAUCAAAUUUGUUAAUAACUUCUUAGAGGGACACUUGGUGUUUAACCAAGGGAAGUCUGAGGCAAUAACAGGUCUGUGAUGCCCUUUAGAUGUUCUGGGCUGCACGCGCGCUACACUGAUACGAACAACGAGUACUGAAGCCCUCAUUCGAAAGGAUGGGGUAAACUUAUGAAAUCGUAUCGUGCUGGGGAUCGAUAAUUGCAAUUAUUUAUCGUGAACGAGGAAUUCCUAGUAAGCGCAAGUCAACAGCUUGCGCUGAUUACGUCCCUGCCCUUUGUACACACCGCCUGUCGCUCCUACCGAUGUUUGGUCCGGUGAAAUCUUAGGAUUCGUAACAUACACUUAUUAUCACUCUUGGGUGAAAAUGAGUUUGUUGUGGAGAAUUUGAGUAAACCUUGCCAAAUAGAGGAAGGAGAAGUCGUAACAAGGUAUUCGUAGGUGAACCUGCAGAAGGAUCAAAUCG